GACGAACGCUGGCGGCGUGCUUAACACAUGCAAGUCGAACGGUAAGGCCCUGCUUUUGUGGGGUGCUCGAGUGGCGAACGGGUGAGUAACACGUGCGUAACCUGCCCUUGACUUUGGGAUAACUUCAGGAAACUUAGGCUAAUACCGGAUAGGAGCUCCUGCUGCAUGGUGGGGGUUGGAACGUUGCGGCGGUUGGGGAUGGACUCGCGGCUUAUGAGCUUGUUGGUGGGGGAGUGGCUUACCAAGGCUUUGACGGGUAGGCGGCCUGAGAGGGUGCACAGGCACAAUGGGACUGAGAGACGGACCAGACUGCUACGGGAGGCAGUAGUGGGGAAUAUGGCACAAUGGGCGGAAGCGUAAUGCAGAAACGCUGCGGGCGGGAUGAGGGCCUGCGGGUUGUAAACCGCUUUUGGCUGAGACGAAGCGUGAGUGACGGUAAUGGGUAAAGAAGCACCGGCUAACUACGUG
rnacentral:rRNA from 1 species